UACGUAGGGUGCGAGCGUUAAUCGGAAUUACUGGGCGUAAAGCGUGCGCAGGCGGUUUUGUAAGCCAGAUGUGAAAUCCCCGGGCUUAACCUGGGAAUGGCAUUUGGGACUGCAAGGCUCGAGUGCGGCAGAGGAGACUGGAAUUCCUGGUGUAGCAGUGAAAUGCGUAGAUAUCAGGAGGAACACCGAUGGCGAAGGCGGCUCACUGGACCGGUACUGACGCUGAGGCGCGAAAGCGUGGGUAGCAAACAGG
rnacentral:rRNA from 1 species